rfam:Aspergillus bombycis strain NRRL26010 contig00047, whole genome shotgun sequence.
CCCCUGAUGGUCUAGUUGGAUAUGGCGUCUGACUGUAAUGGAAUUUAUAACCUUGUAAUCAGAAGGUCGCCGGCUCGAUUCCGGCUCGGGGGA